rnacentral:rRNA from 1 species
CCUACGGGAGGCAGCAGUGAGGAAUAUUGGUCAAUGGACGAGAGUCUGAACCAGCCAAGUAGCGUGAAGGAUGACUGCCCUAUGGGUUGUAAACUUCUUUUAUAUGGGAAUAAAAUGGUCCACGUGUGGGAUGUUGUAUGUACCAUAUGAAUAAGGAUCGGCUAACUCCGUGCCAGCAGCCGCGGUAAUACGGAGGAUCCGAGCGUUAUCCGGAUUUAUUGGGUUUAAAGGGAGCGUAGGUGGAUUGUUAAGUCAGUUGUGAAAGUUUGGGGCUCAACCGUAAAAGUGCAGUUGAAACUGGCAGUCUUGAGUACAGUAGAGGUGGGCGGAAUUCGUGGUGUAGCGGUGAAAUGCUUAGAUAUCACGAAGAACUCCGAUUGCGAAGGCAGCUCACUGGACUGCAACUGACACUGAGGCACGAAAGUGUGGGUAUCAAACAGGAUUAGAUACCCGAGUAGUA